rnacentral:lncRNA from 10 species
ACAAACAAACAAAAACAAAGUAAAAUGCCACUUACUAAUAGCUCUAUGGCCAUAGACAGGUUACUUAUCCUCUCCUUAAGCUUCUUAGCAAAGCACCUGGCGUGUAGUAUUUGUUCAAUAAAAAGUAGCUUUAAGGCCGGGCGCAGUGAUUCACGCCUGUAAUCCCAGCCCUUCAGGAGGCCGAGGCAGGAGGAUCGCUUGAGCUGGAGCGUUUGAGAUCAGCCUGGGCAACGAAGUCAGACUCUGUCUCUACAAAAAUUGAAAGUUAGCCCAGGCAUGGUGGUGUGUGCCUGCAGUCCCAGCUACUCGAGAGGAUGAGGUGGGAGGAUCACUUGAGCCCAGAGCUCGAGCUGCCGUGAGCCGUGAUUUUAAAAUUAAAAAAAAAAAAUUGAUUCAAUCAUUCUUCUAGAAUAAUAGCUUUUUUUUCUCUCUCUCUUUUUUUUAAAUUGAGACAGGGUUUCGGUCUGUUGCCCAGGCUGAGGCUGGUGGUGCAAUCAUAGCUCACUGCAACCUCGACCUCCUGGGGUUGCAGCAUGGGCCACCGUGACUGGCCUGAAAUAGUUUUCUUAGCAUUUAAUUUUAAGUUCGAGACCAGCCUGGGCAACAUGGAGAAACUCCACCUCUACAAAAAAAUACAAAAAUUAGCUGGGCUUGGUGGCAUGUGCCUGUGGUCCCCAGCUACUAGGGAGGCUGAGGUGGGAGGAUCACCUGAGCCCAGCAGGUGGAGGGUUGGGGUAAGCCGAGAUCGCACCACUGCACUCCAGCCUGAGUGACACAGUGAGACCCUGUCUCAAAAAAAAAAAAAAAAAGAAAAAUUAAGGAACAACAAAGUUUACAAAUGAAGCGAGGAAGGAGUUUCGCCACAGCCUCCCAGAGGCACUUCUUCCUGCUUCUCCUAUUUCUGGCUGUGCCGUCACCAUUGCCCAGAACCAGCACUUACACGCCUAGGUCUUUCCUAGAUUGCCUGCUCUUUCUUUGAACUGCCUGUUUCCCAACCCUUCCUCUUCUUUCCCUGCCACUGCCCUGCCUCAGACUCUUUUCCCGCAUGGCAGGCCGGGGCAACGACCUCUCAUUUACAUCCCUGCCUAUUUUUUGCUGUUGUUGAGACGGAGUCUUGUUCUGUCACCCAGGCUGGAGUGCAAUGGUGAGAUCUCGGCUCACUGCAACCUCUGCCUCCCGGGUUCAAGCGAUUCUCCUGCCUCAGCCUCCUGAGUAGCUGGGAUUACAGGCACGCGCCACCACACCUGGCUAAUUUUUGUAUUUUCAGUAGAGACAGGAUUUCACCACAUUGGCCAGGCUGAUCUUGAACUCUUGACCGCAGAUGAUCCGCCUGCCUCGGCCUCCCAAAGUGCUGGGAUUACAGGCAUGAGCCACGGUGUCCGGCCGCAUCCCUGCUUCUUAAGCCUCUUCCUCUGCAGUCCAUCCUGAUUACUAACGAAUGGCCGAGAAGCACGACUUUCAUCCAGCCACUCCCAGCCUCAGAGCCUUCACGAGCUCCUUCUCGCUGCGGGAUAAAGCACAGCUCCUCCGCCAGCCCGGCGCGCAGCGGGCCUCACCUCUCCUGCCCGGCCCUCUCAAUUGUCCCCUGCUCUUCCACCAGGAUCCUUGAAUCCUGCCAGACCUCGCUCCCCUGGGCCUGGGGCGUCCCCGAACUCAUCCUCGCAGCUUCCCUGUCCCAGGAGGGCCCGCUGGCCAAAUCCUCCCCACUCUGCCUGCGGCGAGGCUUGCUGGACUAGCAGACUCAGAAUGGCCUGUUCUGAACAGCCUUGGGGUUUCCGUUUGCACAUUCUGAAGCAAAGCAAUGUGAGAACCGUUUUCAUUGCGUGAGGCAAGGUUUCUCAACCUGAGCACUAUUGACACUUUGGCCUGAAUAAUCUUUUCUGUGGGGGCUCUUCCCGUGCCCUGUAGGAAGUUUAGCAGCUUUCCUGGCCUCUGACCACGAGAUGCCAGUAGCACCUUCCAGUGUGGCAACCGGAAGUCUCCCGACACUGCCAAAUAUUCCCUGGGGGGACAGCUGCUGUGUAAGGGAAGGCUUGUACCACCAGCUGCACUCUCUCAACAGGAGGUUCACUGGAACUAGAUGUAGCAGCCACCUACUGCCACUAACCACAGAGUGGCCACCAGGCAUCUCCGGACACUGGCAGUUGGCAACCGCUCUGGUUCAGAUCAUCUGAAAUGAAGCCCUACACAGCCCAAGGACACGCCCACGUCUGCAACAGAACGCACACUGAGAGCUUCCUGUUGCCUGGGAAACGUGUUAAAUGUGCUACAGAGACACAGACUUGUAUCCAACAUUUCAGAGGUAGUCAGUAUGCAGCAGGAAAACAAAAUAAAACGCAGGCUGAAAGAAUGGGUGGGAUCCAAGGAAUCAAAGCAGUAGAUGGACGACCAGGAGCACCCCAAGUUAUCUUCAGGAAACAGAGCGACAAAACGCAAAGGGACGCUCACCUACCUCAUGAAUUACGCGUGUCGCCCUCCUCGAGACGCCACAACGCAGUCCCCUGGGGAGCCAGCCGGAGACCUCUCCCUGCGGUGCUGUCUCCCCCGUGGUGG